rnacentral:rRNA from 1 species
UCCAGACUCCUACGGGAGGCAGCAGUGAGGAAUAUUGGUCAAUGGCCGCAGGGCUGAACCAGCCAAGUCGCGUGAGGGAUGACGGUCCUAUGGAUUGUAAACCUCUUUUGUCAGGGAGCAAAGGGCGCCACGUGUGGCGUUUUGCGAGUACCUGAAGAAAAAGCAUCGGCUAACUCCGUGCCAGCAGCCGCGGUAAUACGGAGGAUGCGAGCGUUAUCCGGAUUUAUUGGGUUUAAAGGGUGCGUAGGCGGAAGGUUAAGUCAGCGGUCAAAUGUCGGUGCUCAACACCGGCCUGCCGUUGAAACUGGUCUUCUUGAGUGAGCGAGAAGUAUGCGGAAUGCGUGGUGUAGCGGUGAAAUGCAUAGAUAUCACGCAGAACUCCGAUUGCGAAGGCAGCAUACCGGCGCUCAACUGACGCUGAGGCACGAAAGCGUGGGGAUCGAACAGGAUUAGAUACCCUGGUAGA